rnacentral:rRNA from 1 species
UACGUAGAAGACUAGUGUUAUUCAUCUUUAUUAGGUUUAAAGGGUACCUAGACGGCACUAUUAGCCCAUAACAGGGUACGGUAUUGCUAGAGUUUAUAAGGGAAGGGAGUAUUCAUGAGAUAGAGAUAAAAUUUUUUUUAAUACUGUGAGGACUGGUAAAGGCGAAAGUACCCUUCUACCUAAAAACUGACGUUGAGGGACGAAGGCUUGGGGAGCAAAUAGG